UCAGGACGAACGCUGGCGGCGCGCCUAACACAUGCAAGUCGAACGAGCGAGAGAGAGCUUGCUUUCUCAAGCGAGUGGCGAACGGGUGAGUAACGCGUGAGGAACCUGCCUCAAAGAGGGGGACAACAGUUGGAAACGACUGCUAAUACCGCAUAAGCCCACGGCUCGGCAUCGAGCAGAGGGAAAAGGAGCAAUCCGCUUUGAGAUGGCCUCGCGUCCGAUUAGCUAGUUGGUGAGGUAACGGCCCACCAAGGCGACGAUCGGUAGCCGGACUGAGAGGUUGAACGGCCACAUUGGGACUGAGACACGGCCCAGACUCCUACGGGAGGCAGCAGUGGGGAAUAUUGCACAAUGGGGGAAACCCUGAUGCAGCGACGCCGCGUGGAGGAAGAAGGUCUUCGGAUUGUAAACUCCUGUUGUUGAGGAAGAUAAUGACGGUACUCAACAAGGAAGUGACGGCUAACUACGUGCCAGCAGCCGCGGUAAAACGUAGGUCACAAGCGUUGUCCGGAAUUACUGGGUGUAAAGGGAGCGCAGGCGGGAAGACAAGUUGGAAGUGAAAUCCAUGGGCUCAACCCAUGAACUGCUUUCAAAACUGUUUUUCUUGAGUAGUGCAGAGGUAGGCGGAAUUCCCGGUGUAGCGGUGGAAUGCGUAGAUAUCGGGAGGAACACCAGUGGCGAAGGCG
rnacentral:rRNA from 1 species